rnacentral:piRNA from 1 species
ACAUGUACUCUGCUUUAGGCU